rnacentral:rRNA from 1 species
GUAGGUGACCUGCGGAAGGAUCAUUACAGAGAACUUGCCCUUCGGGGUAGAUCUCCCACCCUUUGUCUACCAUACUUUGUUGCUUUGGCAGGCCCGCUCUCGGGCCGCCGGCUUCGGCUGGCCAGCGUCUGCCAGAGGACCACAAACUCUUGUAUUUUAGUGUCGUCUGAGUACUUUAUAAUAAGUUAAAACUUUCAACAACGGAUCUCUUGGUUCUGGCAUCGAUGAAGAACGCAGCGAAAUGCGAUAAGUAAUGUGAAUUGCAGAAUUCAGUGAAUCAUCGAAUCUUUGAACGCACAUUGCGCCUAGCGGUAUUCCGCUAGGCAUGCCUGUUCGAGCGUCAUUUCAACCCUCAAGCCUAGCUUGGUAUUGGGUGUCACCGGCACGGUGCGCCUUAAAAUCAGUGGCGGUGCCAUCUGGCUUCAAGCGUAGUAAUACUUCUCGCUCUGGAUCCCGGGUGGUUACUUGCCAACAACCCCAUAUUUUUUAAGGUUGACCUCGGAUCAGGUAGGGAUACCCGCUGAACUUAAGCAUAUCAAUAAGCGGAGGAAAAGAAACCAACAGGGAUUGCCUCAGUAACGGCGAGUGAAGCGGCAACAGCUCAAAUUUGAAAUCUGGCCUUCGGGUCCGAGUUGUAAUUUGCAGAGGAUGCUUCGAGCAUGGUCUAGUCUAAGUUCCUUGGAAUAGACGUCAUAGAAGGUGAGAAUCCGUAUGCGACUGGGUGCCUCAUCUCAUGUGAAGCAUCUUCGACGAGU